UCAGACGAUGCGUCAUGCAUAUCAAUAAGCGGAGGAAAAGAAACUAACAAGGAUUCCCCUAGUAACGGCGAGUGAAGCGGGAAGAGCUCAAAUUUGAAAUCUUAAAGGGUUUCCCUUUACGAAUUGUAGUUUAAAGAAGUGUUUUCUGUUGAGGUUUUGGUAAAAGUUCUUUGGAAUAGGACAUCAUAGAGGGUGAGAAUCCCGUAUUUGACCUUUACUUUCAACUUUGUGAUACACUUUCAAAGAGUCGGAUUGUUUGGGAAUGCAGUCCAAAAUGGGUGGUAAAUUUCAUCUAAAGCUAAAUAUUGGCGAGAGACCGAUAGCGAACAAGUACCGUGAGGGAAAGAUGAAAAGAACUUUGAAAAGAGAGUUAAACAGUACGUGAAAUUGUCAAAAGGGAAGCGUUUGACACCAGUGUUGUUUUUCUGAAAAUCAAUUAAAGAACUGUUUAUGCUAAGCUGUUUAGACUUUAUCAGCUAUCUGCUUAGUUUUGAGGCUUUUCUUUAAUGCACUUUUCAGUUAACAAGUCAACAUCAAUUUCUUUUGCUGUAAAAAAGCUUGAGGAAGGUGGCUUGAGAUUCGUCUUAAGUGUUUAUAGCCUCUUGCCUAUGCAGUCGGAGAGAUUGAGGUCUGCAGCGUAGAUCCUUCGGGGCUAAAUGCAUUUGUGCUAAGUUAUAGCAUUUUAUAGACAACUUGUUGACUAUGAUUUGUCUUGUAGCUUACUCGCUUAUGUUAUUUUACCUACGCUUAGGAUGUUGACACACGCGCGUGCUCG
rnacentral:rRNA from 1 species